GGUUAAGUGACUAAGCGUACACGGUGGAUGCCUUGGCAGUCAGAGGCGAUGAAGGACGUAGUAACUUGCGAUAAGCGUAGAUGAGGCAGUAACAGCCACUUGAGUCUACGAUUUCCGAAUGGGGAAACCCACUGGCAUAAGCCAGUAUCAUUGAGUGAAUACAUAGCUCAAUGAAGCGAACCGGGAGAACUGAAACAUCUAAGUACCCCGAGGAAAAGAAAUCAACCGAGAUUCCGAAAGUAGCGGCGAGCGAAAUUGGAUUAGCCCUUAAGCUUUACAUGUGUUAGACGAACGGUCUGGAAAGUCCGACGAUAC
rnacentral:rRNA from 1 species